AAACUAACAAGGAUUCCCCUAGUAACUGCGAGUGAAGCGGGAAAAGCUCAAAUUUAAAAUCUGUAGCCUUCGGUUGCCCGAGUUGUAGUCUGGAGAAGCGUCUUCCGCGCUGGACCGUGUACAAGUCUCUUGGAACAGAGCGUCAUAGAGGGUGAGAAUCCCGUCUUUGACACGGACUACCAGUGCUUUGUGAUGCGCUCUCAAAGAGUCGAGUUGUUUGGGAAUGCAGCUCAAAAUGGGUGGUAAAUUCCAUCUAAAGCUAAAUAUUGGCGAGAGACCGAUAGCGAACAAGUACCGUGAGGGAAAGAUGAAAAGCACUUUGGAAAGAGAGUUAAACAGUACGUGAAAUUGCUGAAAGGGAAACGCUUGAAGUCAGUCGCGUCGUCCAGAACUCAACCUGGCUUUUGCUUGGUGCACUUUCUGGUUGACGGGCCAACAUCAGUUUUGACUGUCGAAAAAAGUCCUUAGGAAUGUGGCACCCUCGGGUGUGUUAUAGCCUUUGGUCGUACGCGAUGGUUGGGACUGAGGACCGCAGCACGCCUUUUGGCCGGGGUUCGCCCACGUACGUGCUUAGGAUGUUGGCGUAAUGGCUUUAAGCGAC
rnacentral:rRNA from 1 species